AGUGAACGCUGGCGGCAGGCCUAACACAUGCAAGUCGAACGGCAGCACAGAGGAGCUUGCUCCUUGGGUGGCGAGUGGCGGACGGGUGAGGAAUGCAUCGGAAUCUGCCUAUUUGUGGGGGAUAACGUAGGGAAACUUACGCUAAUACCGCAUACGUCCUACGGGAGAAAGUGGGGGACCUUCGGGCCUCACGCAGAUAGAUGAGCCGAUGCCGGAUUAGCUAGUUGGCGGGGUAAAGGCCCACCAAGGCGACGAUCCGUAGCUGGUCUGAGAGGAUGAUCAGACACACUGGAACUGAGACACGGUCCAGACUCCUACGGGGGGCGGCAGUGGGGAAUAUUGGACAAUGGGCGCAAGCCUGAUCCAGCCAUGCCGCGUGUGUGAAGAAGGCCUUCGGGUUGUAAAGCACUUUUGUCCGGAAAGAAAAGCGCUCGAUUAAUACUCGGGUGUUAUGACGGUACCGGAAGAAUAAGCACCGGCUAACUUCGUGCCAGCCGCCGCGGUAACAC
rnacentral:rRNA from 1 species